AUUGAACGCUGGCGGCAUGCUUUACACAUGCAAGUCGAACGGCAGCGCGGGCUUCGGCCUGGCGGCGAGUGGCGAACGGGUGAGUAAUGCAUCGGAACGUGCCCAGUAGUGGGGGAUAGCCCGGCGAAAGCCGGAUUAAUACCGCAUACGACCUGAGGGUGAAAGCGGGGGACCGAAAGGCCUCGCGCUAUUGGAGCGGCCGAUGUCGGAUUAGCUAGUUGGUGGGGGAAAGGCUUACCAAGGCGACGAUCCGUAGCUGGUCUGAGAGGACGACCAGCCACACUGGGACUGAGACACGGCCCUGAGUCCUACGGGAGGGAGCAGUGGGGAAUUUUGGACAAUGGGGGCAAACCUGAUCCAGCCAUGCCGCGUGCGGGAAGAAGGCCUUCGGGUUGUAAACCGCUUUUGUUCGGGAAGAAAUCCUCUGGGCUAAUACCCCGGGGGGAUGACGGUACCGGAAGAAUAAGCACCGGCUAACUACGUG
rnacentral:rRNA from 1 species